GGUCACGAGUGCCAGCGCUAAACCCCGGUUUGCUGGCCGGCAACCCUCCAUUCGCGGUGGGGUGCCCCGGGUGACGACCAGGCCGGUCCGGAACGGACACGGCAAGCGCGGAUU
rfam:Arthrobacter sp. Soil762 contig_16, whole genome shotgun sequence.